rnacentral:lncRNA from 1 species
GGAGGGAAAUGUUAGCACCAGUGUCUUCCAAGAGAGCAUCAUUCACAGAGCUCCCUGGGAUCUGGGAACGCCAUGAUUAAGAAAGCAGAUGCAGGCACUCAUACUAAGAAAAUGCAAUUUUCAAGAGGACCAAGAGGCAAACAUACAGUGCUGAGCACAGAAGUGCAGCUUGGCUGCUUUGGAUCAGGAUCUGGCUUUGUUCCCUGUCUCACACUUUUUCUCCAGCCAGGAAGUAGGUGGAGAGGUCAUCUUUGAG